GGCCAGUUAACUCAGUUGGUUAGAGUGUGGUGCUGAUAACACCAAGGUCACAGGUUCAGUCCCUGUUUGGUCC
rnacentral:tRNA from 1 species